CACGAACUCCGUGUCAGCAGCGGCGGUAAGUAGGAGGGGGCUCGCGUGGUUCGGGAUUACUUGGCGUAAAGCGCGCGUAGGCGGGUGCUCAAGUCAGAGGUGAAAGCCCGGGGCUCAACCCCGUAACUGCCUUUGAAACUAGGUGACUAGAAUCUUGGAGAGGUCAGUGGAAUUCCGAGUGUAGAGGUGAAAUUCGUAGAUAUUCGGAAGAACACCAGUGGCGAAGGCGACUGACUGGACAAGUAUUGACGCUGAGGUGCGAAAGCGUGGGGAGCAAACAGGAUUAGAUACCCGAGUAGUC
rnacentral:rRNA from 1 species